rnacentral:rRNA from 3 species
CUGUGACCCCAGGUCAGGCGGGACUACCCGCUGAGUUUAAGC